CCCACUGACGUUGGGCCCCCCUGUCUCCUUCCUUCUUUCUCCUCCCUCUCUCUCUCCUCUCUCUCUUUCUCUCCCCUUCUUCUUCCCCUUCAGCUGAUGGUGCGUGGCAGCAGGCAAGCCCGCCGCGGCGGUGGCAGAGCAAGCGGCGACGGACGGCGGCGCAGGGCAAGGGAAGAAACAAUAACGUCAGGUUCGUGCAGCCGGACAAGCCGCGUUCCGGUCGCAGCCGAUCCCUGGCGGCAAGCCGGCACGCCGCGCGACAUCGAACCGCGGCGGCCGGAUGAUGUCCCGGGACAGGCGCUACGACUCGUUCAAGACGUGGUCCGGGAAGCUUGAGCGGCAGCUCGCCCAUCUGGCUGGCGCCGGGCCGGAGUUCCCCGAGGAGGAGGAGGACGGUUGCGACGCCAUCAGCAGCCACCACACCAAGUCCAUGCCUCAGGUUGAUCGCUUCUUCGCCGCACUGGAGUGCCCCGAACUGGACAAACUCCGGUCAUCGGAGGAGCUGGUGCUUCCGUUGGACAAAACGUGGCCGUUUCUGCUCCGGUUCCCGGUGUCGGCGUUCGGUAUCUGCCUCGGCGUGAGCACCCAAGCGAUCCUGUGGAAGACGGUGGCGACGUCAGCGCCGACCAGAUUCCUUCACGUCACUACCAAGGUGAACCUGGUGCUAGUGCGUUUCCGUCGCGCUCAUGUGCGUCAUCGCAGCCAUCUACGCUUGCAAGGUGGUCUUCUUCUUCGAGGCCGUCCUUGAGCGGCAAGGGAGUUGGGCGGCAAGCGGGGGAGGAGGUGGGUGCGCUCACCGCGAGGAGCGGGGCGAUGUGGUCGCGGUGGCAGGGAUCCCGGCGAGCCGCGCAGACGAGGGGGAGCGGCGAGCCACGCAGACAAGGGGUAGGAGGCGGGGGCGCAGCGGCGCGAGGGCGGAGGCGGAGUACAUCGCCGGCCUGCACGCCAUGGCGAUGGCGGCGGCGGCGGCGGCGGCGGUGGCGAACGUUGUCGGGGAGAUCCCCCACCUCACCCUAUCCAUGGCGGCCAUCGCCACUCUUCGCUCCCCGGCGUCUUCGCUCCCCGGCGUCUCCGCCGCUCGCCACCGUCUCUCCUUGCCCGCCGCCGCCCUUCCGCCGUCUCCCAACCACCGUCCCGACCGCCGGACGCCACCGCCAUCCCCACUGCUGCUCCGGGGGUGAAGAGAAAGGCUAGGGAGAGAAUGAGAGAAGGGAGGGAGGAGGAAGAAGGGGAGGAGAGAGGAUGACAUGUGGGCCCCACAUGGUCUGUGGGUCCCGCAUGUCAUCCUAUGUGUGAAUGAUAAAUGAAUUUUUUUUAAUUCUAAUGCCACAUAAGCGUCACGUCAACGCCACGUGUAAAGAAGAUCCGGUCAGUACCGCCACGUAGGUGUCACGUCAGCAAAACCGCCCUUCAAAACCGUCAAGGGAGUCAAAUUGCACCGGUUCAAUAGUUAAGGGUCGAGAUAUCCGGUUUUGUGGUUUAGGGUCAUGGAUUAGAUUCGGGAAAAAGUACACCGAAGGUCCCUCAACUUAUCAACGGGAUAAAAAACGUCCUCGAACCGCAAAACCAGAUAUGUGAGAUCCCUUAACUAUACAAAACCGGUCACCCGAGAUCCUUCGGGGAUUUUGACCCCAGUUUUGGUCUACGUGGCGGCUAAGUCAGCGUAGGUCCCACGUGGGCCCCACAUGUCAGAUGUCCACGUCAGCCUCCUCUCCUCCCUUUCCCCUUUUCUCUCCCUUCGUCAUCUUCGUCAACGUCACGGCGAACCCGCGGCUCGGCGAGGCCGCGCUCCGGCGGGUCGGCACGUCGGCGGCGGCGGUGGACUGGCUGGUGGAGAUGCUCACCUGGAACGGCGCCGCCGAGGCCGCCGCCAGGGCGUCCGCCGCGCUCGUCGUGUCCAAGCUAGCCAGCAAUUAAGAAGCGGAACGCGCUCCGUGUCGCCGGCGUCCCUGGCGAUAUCAAGUCUGCGUCGUCGCUGCUCUACGUCGCCGACGAGGAGUGCAACCUCCAAGGCCUCCUCAUCAUCAAGAAGCUGACGCGCAACCACGACACCUGCAGCAAGAUUGGCAACGCAAUGUAUUUGAUAGGUGGAGCACAUGCUGUCAAGAAAAAACCAAGUUCCAUCACAAUUGAGUUCUCCCGUGGGAAUUAUAAUAAGAUUCUAUCGUGCCUCUUCUCUACCAGUGAUUUGGAAUAUCUACAGAUAGAAAGAUGCAUCAUGAGCUUGCCUCGAGAGUUUGAAGGUUUUAAGCAGCUAAUUGUUCUGAAUCUGCAUACACCUAACCUGUCCAAUGUGUAUGUUACACUCGACAAAACAAAAGUUGCAGACAGGAGUAAAAACUAUAUGAUGCAAAGCUUUUGUCAGCCUAACUGAAAUAGAAACACUUGUUAUGAAAAGAUGUAUGGUUGCGUUGCCUCAAAUUUUUUUUUUGAUGAAAGGCCAAGGCCCAGCUUUCAUUAGAAAAGCAUAAGAGUACAUGUAUG